rnacentral:rRNA from 1 species
UACGGAGGGUGCGAGCGUUAAUCGGAAUUACUGGGCGUAAAGGGUGCGUAGGUGGUUUGAUAAGUUAUCUGUGAAAUCCCUGGGCUCAACCUGGGCAGGUCAGAUAAGACUGUUGGACUCGAGUAUAGGAGAGGGUAGUGGAAUUUCCGGUGUAGCGGUGAAAUGCGUAGAGAUCGGAAGGAACACCAGUGGCGAAGGCGGCUACCUGGCCUAAUACUGACACUGAGGCACGAAAGCGUGGGGAGCAAACAGG